CAAAGCCAAUAUGGGAACCUCUAGGUUAGCAAAUAAAUAGAAGAUAGGGGGGGGGGUGCGGCACCCUGUGAACUUUAUUCUUCUCCUACUUUUGGAAAUGGUUAUUGAAUUCUCUCCCUUCUGGAAAGAUGAGGAAAAACUACUAGGAGUACCUGUUCGUAUAGGUUAUUGAGAGAACUAAAUAUAUAUGUAUCUGGAUUGCUGCUGCAUAAGCAUAUGGACUAAAAAUACAUUUAUUGAACUUUCAUACAUUUUUUUGUUUUUUUUUUUUUUUUUUUUUUUUCCUUUUCACUUGCAAGUAUUAGGAGCUGCUCGCAUACUUUUCUUAUAUAGUGUUGUGUCAUAUACACUACAUUGCACCUUCCAGCUUGUUAAAUUGGAAU